rnacentral:lncRNA from 1 species
GCUUGUUCUUUGUUGGUCUGUCACCAGGUUUGGGCAGAUUUCCUGGUUGUGUCCAUAAUGUCCUCAAGAAAAACAUACCGUGAUGAGGUAUUCAUAUUCGAUUUUCUAUAAAAAUUUGUUGUUUAGAAGUUGGGAUAUAAGUGCUUUCCCAAGGUUGACGUAAACUGACAUUCUUGCAAAUCAACCUCGACCUCAUUGUCGGUAUUAAAAUCCAAUUUUGCAACAUUUCCUAUCAUUCCCCCUAUUUCCCACAGUAUUUUCUUCUUGUACAUGUGUUCAGGCAGUCCUAGUAGACGUAUCUAGGCCAUGACUAUAUUGGGGUAAGGCUGCGAAGGGCUAAAUUCGAUGCUCCAAGGUUGAACAGUUAAAUAUUGCCCAUAAACAAUCCAGGGCCCCUGACUUAAAACUUUCUCAAAAUCUGUCGAAUUCUGAAACUUAGCCAGAUAGUAACCAUUUUCGAUAUCCAUUAAUCUAAACGGUUGAUUUGGUUGCCAUAGAGAAUGAAUCUUAUUCUGUAGAGUGGCGUAUCCAAUGUUUCUUCCUAAGAGUUUUAUUACCACCGUAUAUUGCAUAUUUUUUUAUGAGUAUUUGAUUAACUCGAUCAGAGAAAUCAAUUGUCGAAAUGUCGUUAAUCGACGAUCUCACGAUAUCUUCAUCAAGUAGGUCUAAAUCAUCAUCCUCGUCUUUGGUUAUUGUUCCUAUUUGGUCGACAACCCUCGGGCCUGUUCCAAAGAGGCGAUCUUUCCAGGAUUUGGGUUAUCUGGAGACGGUACAGUUUCCAUAGGGGCAUUUGCGACUUCAUCUUGAGAGUUG